rnacentral:rRNA from 1 species
AGAACUUAGCAGAGAUGCUUUGGUGCCUUCGGGAACUCUGAGACAGGUGCUGCAUGGCUGUCGUCAGCUCGUGUUGUGAAAUGUUGGGUUAAGUCCCGCAACGAGCGCAACCCUUAUCCUUUGUUGCCAGCGGCUCGGCCGGGAACUCAAAGGAGACUGCCGGUGAUAAACCGGAGGAAGGUGGGGAUGACGUCAAGUCAUCAUGGCCCUUACGGCCAGGGCUACACACGUGCUACAAUGGCGCAUACAAGAGAAGCGACCUCGCGAGAGCAAGCGGACCUCAUAAAGUGCGUCGUAGUCCGGAUUGGAGUCUGCAGCUCGACUCCAUGAAGUCGGAAUCGCUAGUAAUCGUAGAUCAGAAUGCUACGGUGAAUACGUUCCCGGGCCUUGUACACACCGCCCGUCACACCAUGGGAGUGGGUUGCAAAAGAAGUAGGUAGCUUAACCUUCGGGAGGGCGCUUACCACUUUGUGAUUCAUGACUGGGGUGAAGUCGUAACAAGGUAGGCGUAGCGAG